rnacentral:tRNA from 1 species
GGCUGUGUGGUGUAACGGUACCACAUUCGGCUUGAAUCUGAGAGGUCCGUGUUCGACUCCCGGCGAAGGCA